rnacentral:lncRNA from 1 species
GUGGUUACCCGUCGCUGUAAAUGGACAGAUAAUUAUCCAAACAAAAAAAAUGCAGGAAAUAUUCUGGAUCCCCGAGCAGUCUUCUCAACUGGUACGAGGAAAAGUCAAGAAAAGCCCCUUUGAGAAGGUCUCCCUGGAAGACAGGCCCAUGAAGAGCUGAAGAAAGAAGUGGGAGGACAGAGGAGAACUCACACAAGGGGAUCAAGCUGGUGAAAACUGGAGAACCAGGCAGGGCCUGUGGAAGACUUCAUCUUGGCAGAGGGAAAAGGCUUCCAAGAAUCUUCCAGUUAUGCAAAGGCAAGGCCCAGCGGUACAUCUGGACAGAGUAGGGAUUGAGACAAGGAUGAAGGGGCUUUUCCGAAUAAAGUUGUGUUUUCCUUUGAUGAAAAGUUGUUGUGUGGUAAAAUUUGGGACUUCCUCUGGUGGCCCAGAGAUGGGAAUUUGACAGCCUGGGGACUGAAGAAGAGAGGACAGGGUUUAAAGACCUAGGAUUUUUGGAGGAGCUGGGCCUAAUGGAGAGUCAGCCAUGAAAGAACUCCCUAGGGUGGGAGAUGGCAGGUGGGCCAUGGUUUCAGUAAGAUGCUAUUCAGGUUUUCCUCCUGCACUGUAAUCCUCUUAUGGUUUCCUCAAGCCUUUAGAAAAGUCUGGGACACACCAUGGGCUGUGUCAGUGGUCCUAGGGUUUAAGGAAGGGCACUCUUCCCUGUUUGGAGCAAGGGACUUCCCCCUUAUAAGGCUAGGGCAGAGG